rnacentral:rRNA from 1 species
UACGGAGGGUGCGAGCGUUAAUCGGAAUCACUGGGCGUAAAGGGCGCGUAGGCGGUCUGGUAAGUCAGGGGUGAAAUCCCACGGCUCAACCGUGGAAUUGCCUUUGAAACUGCUGGGCUUGGAUCCUGGAGAGGGUGGCGGAAUUCCUGGUGUAGGAGUGAAAUCCGUAGAUAUCAGGAGGAACACCGGUGGCGAAGGCGGCCACCUGGACAGGUAUCGACGCUGAGGCGCGAAAGUGUGGGGAGCAAACAGG